CAGCCGCCGCGGUAACACGAAGGGUGCAAGCGUUACUCGGAAUUACUGGGCGUAAAGCGUGCGUAGGUGGUUGUUUAAGUCUGCUGUGAAAGCCCUGGGCUCAACCUGGGAAUUGCAGUGGAUACUGGGCAACUAGAGUAAGGUAGAGGAUAGUGGAAUUUCCGGUGUAGCAGUGAAAUGCGUAGAGAUCGGAAGGAACAUCUGUGGCGAAGGCGACUAUCUGGGCCAUUACUGACACUGAGGCACGAAAGCGUGGGGAGCAAACAGGAUUAGAUACCCCCGUAGUCCCUGUCUCUUAUAA
rnacentral:rRNA from 1 species